AAGUCGAACGAGAGAUGAGGAGCUUGCUCUUCAAAUCGAGUGGCGAACGGGUGAGUAACGCGUGAGGAACCUGCCUCAAAGAGGGGGACAACAGACGGAAACGACUGCUAAUACCGCAUAGUAUCGAAAGAUUAAAGCAGCAAUGCGCUUGGGGAUGGGCUCGCGGCCUAUUAGUUAGUUGGUGAGGUAACGGCUCACCAAGGCGAUGACGGGUAGCCGGUCUGAGAGGAUGUCCGGCCACACUGGAACUGAGACACGGUCCAGACACC
rnacentral:rRNA from 1 species